rnacentral:rRNA from 1 species
CCUACGGGAGGCAGCAGUGGGGAAUUUUGGACAAUGGGCGAAAGCCUGAUCCAGCAAUGCCGCGUGUGGGAAGAAGGCCUUCGGGUUGUAAACCACUUUUGUACGGAACGAAACGGUUCGCUUUAAUACAGUGGGCUAAUGACGGUACCGUAAGAAUAAGCACCGGCUAACUACGUGCCAGCAGCCGCGGUAAUACGUAGGGUGCGAGCGUUAAUCGGAAUUACUGGGCGUAAAGCGUGCGCAGGCGGUUUUAUAAGACAGUUGUGAAAUCCCCGGGCUCAACCUGGGAAUUGCAUCUGUGACUGUAUAGCUAGAGUACGGUAGAGGGGGAUGGAAUUCCGCGUGUAGCAGUGAAAUGCGUAGAUAUGCGGAGGAACACCGAUGGCGAAGGCAAUCCCCUGGACCUGUACUGACGCUCAUGCACGAAAGCGUGGGGAGCAAACAGGAUUAGAUACCCUGGUAGUCCACGCCCUAAACGAUGUCAACUGGUUGUUGGGUGCAUUAGUACUCAGUAACGAAGCUAACGCGUGAAGUUGACCGCCUGGGGAGUACGGCCGCAAGGUUGAAACGUCAAAUUGAAAUUGACGG